GGAGUUGUGGCUCAGUGGUAACAGCGCUCACCUAGGGUGGGUGAGGCCCUGGGUUUGAUCCUCAGCACCA
rnacentral:tRNA from 1 species